CGGGUGUGGCCCCGGUCUAAGUUCCUUGGAACAGGACGUCACAGAGGGUGAGAAUCCCGUACGUGCCCGGUGGCCGCGCCCGUGUGAAGCUCUUUCGACGAGUCGAGUUGUUUGG
rnacentral:rRNA from 1 species